GUCUCUGUGGUGUUCAGCACAUUAGAUUUUCAUUCUAAGGGGGUGGGGCCUAUCCACCGGAGAUA
rnacentral:tRNA from 1 species